rnacentral:tRNA from 1 species
GAGGAUAUAGCUCCAGUGAAAGGGCACAUGCUUAGCACGCAUGAGGUCCUGGGUUCAAUCCCCAGUGCCUCCU